GAAGCUUUUGUCUCCCCAACUGGUUUUGACAACUGCUUUUCCUGGUGUUUUUCAGUUUUUAAAAUAUAUGCUUUGCUUCUGGAUAGAAGUGUUUCGGUGUUGUAGGAAGUGUUGGUUCUUGGUACUGUUUCUCACGCUGUUAAAUCAUGCCUCUGUCUUCAGAUCCUUAUCACCGUAAGAAUCUAUAAACGUACAGCGUUCGAGUUUCUGCAACCCAAUCUUCCAAAUCUCUGCUUUUUAUCUUAAGGAAGUGUGGUGUCUUUGACUUAUUUUUGCUGAUUUAUUAUACUUAACACCUUUUCAAAGUUUCGGAUUCUUGGAUAUUUAUUAAAUUUAAUGCUGUUUUUCCUGUCAGCUUUGCCACAGUCUUCAAAUUUCCUCCAGUUUGUUAUUGUCUCAUAAUUUUCUUGCCAAUUCUGCAUCUUCUGUUGCCAAUAUUUUUUUUUGGUGUAAUUUUUUAGUAUUCUUUAAUGCUUCCCCCAUGUUUUAUUAGUAUGUGUCUUCUGUGAAGCACUUUAAGCCAGAGAGCUGCAUAAAUGGAAAUAUAUUAUAUGCAGAAGAACUAAUGGAAAUUUAGUGUGCAUGUGGAUUGGGCUCUCAGCAAAUUCUUGAAAUACAUUUUACAGUUUUUGCACUCAAAAGAUAUUGAAUUACUUGGAAAUUGGUGUAAUUAAACAUUACACUUAAUACUCAAGAUGUUUUAAUCUCCAUUUUGUGGAGAUUAAGCAUUAUUUUUCAAGGCAGCUAGUAGUUUUGAAGGAGAGUCUGCCAGAAUGCUCUCUUCAUUUUUUUUAUAUUUUAAAAUGAAUUCUUUUCUGUUAACAGCUGGCUGUGUUCUUUAACUUUAUUUUGGAUGGGAUUUUCUUUUUCUUCAUUGCCAUCUAUAGAAAUUGAUGAAUUUUUUUAGAAAUCUUUCAUUCGUAAAGAGAAAUUUUACCUUCUGUGGAACUGGUUUCAUUUUAUCCUAUGGCUUCAUUUUUACUUCUUUAUACUUUAGUUGGGAUUUUACAUAAAUAGAGGUAAUUAAU
rnacentral:lncRNA from 1 species